UACGGGGGGAGCAAGCGUUGUUCGGAUUUACUGGGCGUAAAGGGCGCGUAGGCGGUCAGCACAAGUCAGUUGUGAAAUCUCCGGGCUUAACCCGGAAAGGUCAACUGAUACUGUGCGACUAGAGUGCGGAAGGGGCAACUGGAAUUCUCGGUGUAGCGGUGAAAUGCGUAGAUAUCGAGAGGAACACCUGCGGCGAAGGCGGGUCGCUGGACUGCAACUGACACUGAGGAACGAAAGCCAGGGGAGCAAACGGG
rnacentral:rRNA from 1 species